CCAGGAGGGAGACUCUUUCUGAGGGGCUGCUUGCUCCUUCGUUUUCUGGGUAGGUGGGGAAGGUUGGUUUUCCCUGUUGCCAACUACAUCGGCUGCCACCACCUUCCACUUCUUCUUUGACUCCGGAGCUGGUUCCUUUGGAGGCAAUAAGGUUCUCACCAUCUUCCACAACAAAGAAAUGGUGCCUUUUAGUAAUACAGUUUUCCUUGGUUUUUUACCUAUCUGCCACUGGACAAAAACUUCUUUUACCGUGGCAAGGGACCUGAGGUCCCUUACCCUAGAGGACUCCCAUGGAUGCACUUUUCUGCUAAGUUUAAAAAGAUUUGUGUUUUUUUUCCCAGCGUGUGAACGUAUCUACCGCUCCUCGGAUGCAGCUGGCCAGGCUGCCCACAAGAAGGGGUCUUUAUGCCUGCAUUCUCCACCAGUUGUUGGGGUUUCCUCCUUUCCCAAGGGGGAAGUUAUUUAAUAGACCAAACCACCAUAAAUGGUUUCUGAGACUAUGGGAAUUUAAGAAUCCUAAUGACACAUAAAGGGACAAUUUAUUCUGGACUUCAAAGAAGAUGAAUAGUCAGAAGAGGACAGCAUAGCAGAGAGAAUAUCACCGUAGAGCCUGAAGAUUCUGUGGACUGUGAUUUUCAUAAGUGAAUUUAUUGUGACACAAAAAAAUAUGAAAUUAUAAAAAAAGAAAGCAUAUAGGAGGCCAUGUGGAAUUCUCUAUUGUUCUAGCACGGAACUUAUAGAAAUAAACAUCAACACCUGGAAUUAAGGAUGGUCAUUUCCAGCCACACAGCUGUGUGCAUGACUGUCUCCACUCAAAAUUGCUGAAUUUAGUACUAAGCAAUACACUUUGAAUGCUCAGAAUUGUUUACAGUAGAAGGGCUAUGUCAAGAGCCCUAGGUAAAAGUAGGUUUACUAACUGGCUAAUGUUUUGGUAAAUUGAUUUCUUUUGAUUAUCUUACAUUUUAAUGUUGGCAGCAAAAUAGAUCUUACAGGCUUGUUUCUAAGGGAUAUUCAUCUACCUCACAAAUGAAACCAUGCAAAGUUGACAGGAAGAAUUUUCCUUACUUUCCGUGUCCUUUUCAGCCCUGAAACUGAGAACUCAGAUGUAAUCAAUGCAGCUGCACAGUAAGACUUGCACAACUUGCCUCCAUUUUUCUAAUUAUACCCUGUGUUGUUUGUACCGAGUUUGGAUGCACAUUUUAAAGAGAAAUAAAUACUUGCAAGGGUG